rnacentral:lncRNA from 1 species
CCGCUAGAGCGACAUGAUGGUGGAAUCUGCCUCGGAGACAAUCAGGUCGGCUCCAUCUGGUCAGAAUGGCGUGGGCAGCCUCUCUGGGCAAGCCGAUGGCAGCAGCGGCGGGGCCACAGGGACAACUGCAAGUGGCACGGGCAGGGAAGUGACCACGGGUGCAGACAGCAAUGGUGAGAUGAGUCCUGCGGAGCUGCUGCACUUCCAGCAGCAACAGGCACUGGGGAACAAGCAGCUGGCCUUCCAGCAGCAGCUCCUGCAAAUGCAACAGUUGCAGCAGCAGCACCUGCUCAACCUGCAGAGGCAGGGGCUGGUCAGCCUGCAGCCCAACCAAGCCUCGGGGCCCCUCC